GUGCUCACUUCAGCAGUACAUAUGCUAAAAUAGGAAUGAUACAGAGAAGGUUAUUAGCAUGCCCCCUGCACAAGGAUGACAUACAAAUUUGUGAAGCGUUCCAUAUUUUU
ensembl:snRNA U6 U6 spliceosomal RNA